GGGUCGGCCCCGCCCCCGCCACCCGCUCUCUCAGACCCCUCCCCUGCUCAUCUGGCCCGGGCCUCCUUUUCAGUAAGACGGAGCAGGCGCUCCGUCUGUUGCUGUCUAGGGCUCUGCCCACCUCUAAACCGAGCUCCGAGUUUGCAAAUUCAUUAUUGCUCCUGAUAGCUCUCACUCGCAGAUUCCUUCCUUUCCCUAAGUGAAGAGGAAUGGAAGCUGAGAUCCUGAGUAUCUCUGCCUAAUCAACCUUACCUCAAAGGAGUUGAGCCCCAAGUCUUCUCCCUUUGGAUACCUGGCCCAUUCUGACAGAUGAUGGGCUUCAUAUGAAGUACUCACUGGUUGCUUGGUCAUCUGUGGGUCUGUCUUUGAGAUAGCGUAGUCCACACAUGAUUAUACAGUUUCUGCAAAAGCUAUUGCACAUGUAUUCUUUGAUCCUCAGCCUGGGAAAGUGUGGGCACAAGUGAGCCUACCUCACUACAUUUUGGGCCCAGCUAAAGAAGCACUAAGGCAGACCAGGAAUGUAGAACUUGAUAGUAAUUUCCCUUAUCCAAGACAUUGGACUUAAUCUUGUUGAAUAUUA